rnacentral:rRNA from 1 species
UCCCCACGGGAGGCAGCAGUGGGGAAUAUUGCACAAUGGGGGAAACCCUGAUGCAGCAACGCCGCGUGAGUGAAGAAGUAUCUCGGUAUGUAAAGCUCUAUCAGCAGGGAAGAAAAUGACGGUACCUGACUAAGAAGCCCCGGCUAACUACGUGCCAGCAGCCGCGGUAAUACGUAGGGGGCAAGCGUUAUCCGGAUUUACUGGGUGUAAAGGGAGCGUAGACGGCAUAGCAAGUCUGAUGUGAAAGAUCGGGGCUCAACCCCGGGCCUGCAUUGGAAACUGUUAAGCUGGAGUACAGGAGAGGG